AAAAAAUUUAUUAAAGGUUUAUUUUAUAUAUAAAUUAUAGUGUUAAAUUAUUAUUAUUUUAAUAAUAAUAAUGAUAUUUUAAUAGUAAAUAAAAUUAAAAAUUUAAGAAAUUAAGAUUUAGUAAUACAAAAAUUAAUAACAAAUUUUGUGCCAGCAGUUGCGGUUAAACAAAAGUUAAAUUAAAUUAUUUCAGUUUAUAAGUAAUAAAUAGUGAAUUAAAAUAAAUAUUAAAUUAUUAGGUAAAAUUUUAAUUUAAUUAAAUUUUAUAUAAAAAUUUAUGUUUUAAAAAAUUUUAUUUUAAACUAGGAUUAGAUACCCUAUUAUUAAAAAUUUAAGUUAUAAUACUAAAAUAGUAAAUAAUUAUUUAUUGAAACUUAAAUAAUAUGGCGGUAUUUUAGUUCAUUUAGAGGAAUCUGUUUAAUAAUUGAUAGUCCACGAUUAAAUUUACUUAAUUAAGAAUUUUAUAUAUCGUUGUUAAAAAAAUAUUUUUAAUAAAAAAUAAUAUUUAAAAAUUAAAAUAAAAAAUUAAUUCAGAUCAAGAUGUAGAUUAUAAUUAAGAAUAUAAUGGAUUACAAUAAAAUUAUUUAAAUGAAUAUAUUAUUGGAAAAUGAUAUUGAAGGUGGAUUUAAAUGUAAUUUUAUUUAAUAAAAUAAAAUGAUUUAAAAUUAAAAUAUGUACAUAUUGCCCGUCACUUUCAUUUAAAAAUUGGAAUAAGUCGUAACAAAGUAGAGGUACUGGAAAGUGUUUCUAGAAAGAA
rnacentral:ncRNA from 1 species